GCGGAUAUGGCGGAACUGGCAGACGCGCUAGAUUCAGGUUCUAGUGAAAGAAAUUUCAUGCAGGUUCAAGUCCUGUUAUCCGCACCA
rnacentral:tRNA from 4 species